GCCAUUUGCAACAACAUGAAUGGACCUAGAGAUUAUCAUACUAAGUGAACCAAAAUUGUUUGCAGUGCCCCACACCUGACUUCCAGCUGGCUCUUGUAUUCAGGCACAAACAAAAGCAAGACAAACACACACUGCAUCUGUACUUUGAAACAGCCUCAAUUCCAGGUGGUUGAAAGGACUCCCUGGGGCACCUGAAACUCAGGUGGGACCAUAGCAGUGUUUCAAGCCCAGCCCACCUGUAAUUCCCCUUUCCUCAAGGUUGCCAGGCAGUCAAGAGCUGGGUGUGCAGAACUGGUGACUCGAGUUCUAUCAGGUGUCAGCCUCUGGCACGUGCAGUGGCAAGAGGCAGGCUGAUCCUCCAAAACGUCUUCAGCCUGCGCUUCACUGAGGUCACAGCCCGAGGACCUCACGUGUCCCCAUCCAUUUCCCAAAGAGCAUUUUCCUCCGGACUGAAGGCGAAAAUCCAGCUUCCUGAACUAGCGUGUGCAGCAGGCGAGCUAGGGAGCCUGCCUUCUGGUGACCAGGGUGCUCAGCCAUUCCAGGCCAGGUGUGGGUGCCUGGUGGGUCUCAGUUCUCCCCGUCACUGCUUGCCAUUUCCUUGCAGUGCCAGUGGACCUCGAGGCAUGUCUAAACUGCCAUCACAGGCUUCCUUCGUCACUGAUUUACAGCAUCAGCCAAAUAAUCAUCUGGCAAGAAGAAAAAGAUAACACGGCGUGCUUAACAAGAAGGUAAUGUGUGUGAGUGUUUAGGUAGUCGCUAAUUAUUUUCUGACUGGAGAACCAGAUAGACUGUGGCAAUGCUGUUUCUAACCCCACUGCUUUAACGCUUUCCUAAGUGGACAAAUGGAUGUGAAUCAGAAAGGAGGGUAAAGUGAGGUGGGCUUAAAAAAUAAAGAUAUCUUCUUUC